rnacentral:rRNA from 1 species
UACGUAGGGCGCAAGCGUUAUCCGGAAUUAUUGGGCGUAAAGAGCUCGUAGGCGGUUUGUCGCGUCUGCUGUGAAAUCCCGAGGCUCAACCUCGGGCCUGCAGUGGGUACGGGCAGACUAGAGUGCGGUAGGGGAGAUUGGAAUUCCUGGUGUAGCGGUGGAAUGCGCAGAUAUCAGGAGGAACACCGAUGGCGAAGGCAGAUCUCUGGGCCGUAACUGACGCUGAGGAGCGAAAGCGUGGGGAGCGAACAGG